rnacentral:rRNA from 1 species
AUUGAACGCUGGCGGCAGGCCUAACACAUGCGAGUCGAGCGGAUGAAGGGAGCUUGCUCCUGGAUUCAGCGGCGGACGGGUGAGUAAUGCCUAGGAAUCUGCCUGGUAGUGGGGGAUAACGUCCGGAAACGGGCGCUAAUACCGCAUACGUCCUGAGGGAGAAAGUGGGGGAUCUUCGGACCUCACGCUAUCAGAUGAGCCUAGGUCGGAUUAGCGAGUUGGUGGGGUAAAGGCCUACCAAGGCGACGAUCCGUAACUGGUCUGAGAGGAUGAUCAGUCACACUGGAACUGAGACACGGUCCAGACUCCUACGGGAGGCAGCAGUGGGGAAUAUUGGACAAUGGGCGAAAGCCUGAUCCAGCCAUGCCGCGUGUGUGAAGAAGGUCUUCGGAUUGUAAAGCACUUUAAGUUGGGAGGAAGGGCAGUAAGUUAAUACCUUGCUGUUUUGACGUUACCAACAGAAUAAGCACCGGCUAACUUCGUG